CCUACGGGGGGCUGCAGUGGGGAAUAUUGGACAAUGGGGGGAACCCUGAUCCAGCCAUGCCGCGUGUGUGAAGAAGGCCCUCGGGUUGUAAAGCACUUUCAGUGAGGAAGAACGCCUGGUGGUUAAUACCCAUCAGGAAAGACAACACUCACAGAAGAAGCACCGUCUAACUCCGUGCCAGCAGCCGCGGUAAUACGGAGGGUGCGAGCGUUAAUCGGAAUUACUGGGCGUAAAGCGCGCGUAGGUGGCUUGAUAAGCCGGUUGUGAAAGCCCCGGGCUCAACCUGGGAACGGCAUCCGGAACUGUCAAGCUAGAGUGCAGGAGAGGAAGGUAGAAUUCCCGGUGUAGAGGUGAAAUGCGUAGAGAUCGGGAGGAAUACCAGUGGCGAAGGCGGCCUUCUGGACUGACACUGACACUGAGGUGCGAAAGCGUGGGUAGCAAACAGGAUUAGAUACCCUAGUAGUC
rnacentral:rRNA from 1 species